UGUCAUCACCAUGUGACCUGAACUGCC
rnacentral:piRNA from 1 species